CCUACGGGUGGCAGCAGUGGGGAAUAUUGGGCAAUGGGCGCAAGCCUGACCCAGCAACGCCGCGUGAAGGAAGAAGGCUUUCGGGUUGUAAACUUCUUUUCUCAGGGACGAGCCGAGUGCCGUUACCUGCGGAAUAAGCCACGGCUAACUACGUGCCAGCAGCCGCGGUAAUACGUAGGUGGCAAGCGUUUUCCGGAUUUACUGGGUGUAAAGGGCGUGUAGGCGGGACUGCAAGUCAGAUGUGAAAACCACGGGCUCAACCUGCGGCCUGCAUUUGAAACUGUAGUUCUUGAGUACUGGAGAGGCAGACGGAAUUCCUAGUGUAGCGGUGAAAUGCGUAGAUAUUAGGAGGAACACCAGUGGCGAAGGCGGUCUGCUGGACAGCAACUGACGCUGAGGCGCGAAAGCGUGGGGAGCAAACAGGAUUAGAUACCCGUGUAGUC
rnacentral:rRNA from 1 species